rnacentral:rRNA from 1 species
GAGGGGCAGCGGAGGCGAGUGCUUGCACUUGCCGGACGGCGACCGGCGCACGGGUGAGUAACACGUAUGCGACCUGCCCGUAGCAGGGGGAUAAGCGGAAGAAAUUCCGUCUAAUACCGCGUAAUAUCUUUCGGGGGCAUCCCUGAGGGAUUAAAGGAAGUGAUUCCGGCUACGGAUGGGCAUGCGGCGCAUUAGCUAGUCGGCGGGGUAACGGCCCACCGAGGCGACGAUGCGUAGGGGUUCUGAGAGGAAGGUCCCCCACACUGGUACUGAGACACGGACCAGACUCCUACGGGAGGCAGCAGUGAGGAAUAUUGGUCAAUGGGCGAGAGCCUGAACCAGCCAAGUCGCGUGAGGGAAGACGGUCCUAUGGAUUGUAAACCUCUUUUGUCGGGGAGCAAAAAGGCCUCGUGAGGCCACAAGUGAGAGUACCCG